rnacentral:RNase_P_RNA from 1 species
UGAGCCGGCCGGGCGGCCGCGGCGCCGGGAACGGACACUCACACGGUGUCACGCCGGGCGCCGAGGAAAGUCCGGACUCCACAGAGCAGGGCGGUUGCUAACGGCAACCCGGGGCAACCCGCGGGACAGUGCCACAGAAAACAGACCGCCCGUGACCCGUCAGGGCCACGGGUAAGGGUGAAACGGUGCGGUAAGAGCGCACCAGCGCCCCGGGUGACCGGGGCGGCUCGGUAAACCCCGCCCGGAGCAAGGUCGAAGGCCGCACCCCAGGGUGCGGUUGCGCAGGUGUUCGAGGGCUGCUCGCCCGAGCCUGCGGGUGGACCGCUCGAGGUACCCGGCGACGGUGUGCCCAGAUGGAUGGCCGCCACCCGGUGCGAACCGGGGACAGGAUCCGGCUUACAGGCCGGCUCAUCCG